AUUCAGAAGGACACACCUUCCUUCCUGUUCUCCUCUGCUAAGCAGCCUAAUGGAGUUUGCCUAAACAGAUGAAAUAACUAGAACAAGGAUGUUUACUGCUUCAAGGGCAUUAAGGAGGAGCAAUAAAUGGAACAGUAGAACAAGAAAAGGCCAAGAAAAUAGGAUGCAAGAUUGCCACGAAUAGGAUAACUGUGUGAUUGAGAGGUGACUUGGACCACAAUUUCAUUGGCAUAUAGCACUCUGGAAUUAUGAAAUACCAUUUACCAGGACAGGCACUGUACUCCAAGUCUUAAGGAGUUGCCAAGGACGGAGGGGUCAAACACAUGGCAAUUUGUACCAUGUUGCCCACAAAACUCUCAAGGGUAGCCUGAACCAUAUUAAAUUAAAAUUGGUAAAUAGUUAACAAAAAUAAACGAAGAUACAAUAAAAAUUGAUACAAUUACAUUUUUUAAAACAAAGUCAAUAUGUGGUUAGCAGGAAUUCUUAGGUACCAUUUGGUGGUCCCAUUUCUAUUUGAGUUUGGGUACUGGUCUAUGACACUGAAGGGCUAAGUGACUUACUAAGGGUCAAGUACCCAGUAUGUUUCAGAGUAUGAACUUAAAAUUGAGAUUCUUCUGGCUCUGGAACCAGCUAUCAAUCCACUUUGCCAUACUGUCAUGUUGUGAAUCUUAAAACUGCUCAGACUCUACCUUAGAAGAUUUGGUUAAGCUAUUCCCUUAUUGUAACAAAUGGAGGUACUUGAUCAGGAAUGUAUUGGGAAUUUUAACAUUACUCCACUCGUUCUUUGACCAUGCCUUAGGGGAAGAUAAAAUUGUAAAAUUCCUUACUGAAAAAUGAAAAGUCCCCAACUCAUACUUAUAGUAAAGCUAGAACCUUAAGCUAGGUCUAUUUUUAGAACUAAUACGAAAGGGUGCUAAAUAGCUAUAAAGGUUAAAUUAAUCACUAAAAGGUCAAGCAACUUACAAAGGACAAGCUUAGCAAAGAAAUGUGAAGUUUUAGUCUAACCAGAGAAGGUGAUAACAAAAGAAGAUGUGAACUAAGAAUGGACAGUCCUGGGGAAAACGUCUACAGUGAUUGGUAGAUGUGAAAAUUCAGGGGAAGUGACACAAGAGAAAAUUUUCUUUAAAAGGAAGGAGCUCGAGGUAUUCGGACUAGUUGGAGUUUGUAGUUCAGUUUGGAAAAUGAAUUAGAGGGUCUCUCUGAACACUAGAGUUUUGCGUUGGGACAGA